ensembl:lncRNA
AUAAUUAGUAGUCUGUGUUGACUUUGAAUGAUAAGCCUUCCGUAUUUGAGUGCAAAUCUAUAGCAUUUUACUCACUUGUAGAUGGUUGAUGGUCGAAACAUUCUCCUUCCGACCAAACAUUCAGCAAUCACCACGAGUUGUUGCAACCGUGAACAGCACAAUAUGUCCCGGAGCCGUGUCGGCGUGUAACACCAUCCAUAGUUUACUUUUUCUGCACGCUAACCAAAGACCGUAAAAGACGCUGACUCGCUAACCGGAAGUGCUUUGCAGACACAACCGGAAGUCGUUGGCAGAGUGAAAGGCCAAUGGCGGCCCGCUUAUUUCACUCAGGAAACUUGUCUAUAGAGCAUAAGAAAUGGAACUGGAAUGAAUGCGCUAACAGCUAACAGUGCUAACAGUGUUAGCCCGUUAAGGAGAAAGCGGUGGAGAGCCAACAGUCAAAGCCGAUGGUCACACAAACUAUUGGAUCUGUACACCGGACGCCCGUCUCUCGUGACAAAGUUCUUGACAUGUUGAGAUCCAAUGAGAGUGAAUCAAUAUGCUGCGUCUUUAAGAUGCAGUAAUUUGCCGCUAACAGAUGUUCACGUUCUCACAGGGGAGGAAUCAGAACUCCUUUUGGACUCCAGUCAAAUUUUGGCCUUUCGGCUUCAGAAGGAAGCCAUGAAAAGAAAAUACAAGAAGUCCCCUUGUCCUGCAAGCUGCAAGUAUUUGAUGGAACUGAGAGAGAAUAAUUGGACCUGAGGGACUUGUUAUAACUUUGAAUGCGGUGUGAAACAAACCUACAAGCUCACCACCGCUUCUAAGAUCCGCGCUUCACGGCGCUGCUUACUCACUUACAUCCUCACACACUUCACUCGUCAACCCACGUGUCCACGCGUCAGACGGGAUGACGGCGUUCACGUCACCAGAUGAGCACGUCAGUCCUCUCCAGGACCUCUUGUUUUCUUUUUUAAAAGAAGACAUUUGAUGGUCCUCUCAUUCCUUCUCUUGAAUCUGCCUCAGGACUCCACACGGGAGCUGCUGAUGACGUGUUGACGUGUUACCUCCGCUUCAUGUUGAAAAUACGUUUUUCUUUGGGUUUUGAGGAGUAAGUUCAUAGGAAACUCAAGUCUUUUGAUUUAAAUCGUAAUAACGGGGAUAAAAAUGGCAUCUGAAGACUUCUCUAUUCAUCCCUGUGCCUAAUAAUUCCACUCCAUAGCGGUCUCCUUCCUCCUGCGCCAUCCGAGGUCUGAAUAGCUAAACCGUCCCAGGCAGCGUAAGCCUCAUGGGCGGGGCUGUAGGCUGACGGGUGCGUAAACGCCGUCCCUACCUCCCUCCUCCUCAGUCAAAAUAUGGUCACUUUCUUUCACUGGUUGACAAAAAAGGCCGCGGGCGUGUGGUCCUGAUGCUGCAGCCUCUAGAAAUAAUCCUGCAAUUUCUUCCUGUGGGCAUAAUUACAUUUGUCUCCUGCUGGUUUAUGUGUGUGGAAGAUGUUUGCUUUUGUGACACAGUUCAACAUGUCACAGGAGUCACAUGACUGAGGACAAACGGACCCUGGACCGCUGGCCUGCACGUAGCCGUAGAGCCAAACGCACCGAUCAAUUGGCUGAGUUUGGCGUCUUUUUGCCGCCGUUUGGUUUGAGCAUGAGAGAAUUCACUCAACAGUGUGCCGAUGUGUGCUGUUGGAUAAUAGUCGUUUUCUAAAAGGCUCCGUAUGGUUCAUGCGCCUUGGUAAUCCAGAGAAAACCCGAGUGAGGCAGGAGGGCGCAGACGGCCCAGCGGACGGGAGGCGGAAGGCGGAGGAAUGUUGUAGCGAUGCACAGAUUCCUGAGAUCACAUGCGGCCGUAAGCAGCGGCCGCACGCGUGAAAGGGCCCUUUGUCCGCGGCCCCGGUUCUUGAGUUCAGCUAAUCAAACGGAUUAGAAACCGCUUUGAAAGUCCGCCCAUCGCAAUCGCACAAAAACAAACACACUUUCGCCAAAGUGCCUGUUUGUGUUUGUGUACGUGUGUGUGUGUGUGUCUGGAUACCGGCGCACCGGACCAGAUGACUCUCUGUGUUUCUGGUCGGCGUGUGAAAGCAAUAAACGGCUCGGCCCGUUUGUAUACAUGAACAAUCUCAUGAGAGCAAACAGAGCACGCGUGUCCUUCACAUGCUGAUUGGAAGCUGCCUGAUUCCCUCACAUGAAGAAGAAGAAGAAGAAGAAGAAGGAGAAGGUUUGGACCGGUGCGUACCGGCCUGGCUUUUCUUGAUACGACCCAGACCUCGUUAUUCUCCGUCUGCUGAGAUGUUUGCGGUGUGAUGACAAACCUAAUCAGCGGCUGUUAUGCACGACUAAAAGGUGCAGGUUGAAACGUUUUAGGUUGUUUUUUUACCUCAAUUCAUUUAUAUUUGACAUGAAGCACCUGUGGUUUCUGUUCCAUCUCCAAACAAACCAGUAAUUGAACAGAUUCAAACGGUCAACAGCUGUAAUGCAAUCAUUUUAGUGCAAUAACAAUCUCAGAAAUUAUCACACUGUACUCAACAGUUAUGCAACACGAUCGGUACGUUUCAUGCAGGCUGCUCUGGUUUGACAAAAGCACAAAUUUGUGCCAACUCGGUGUUUCAAUGAAACGGUGUCUCCACAGUUUAUAAAACUCCUCCAGACCAAAAUGGAAGGGGUUAGCCUCUAGGUUAGCAACAGCAGCUAUGGUUUUAGAAUAGGCAAUUAGGCAAUAGAAAUAUUUCUAUUUGGAAAAAGCUGUAAACUGUGGAGAGGAUCGGCUCUGUCCUCGGGUCGGUGCAGGCCGGCAGCGGGACUUUCACACCAGGACUUUCCACCCGCUGCGCUCCACGCGCCGUGGGCCUGUUGGUGUUUUCCUUCCACUCGGUUGAGUAUUUUCCACUCGAGUAUUUGUUUAGAAGAAGAAAAAGGGGUCAAGCGGUGCAGGACUCAACGUCGCCUCGUCGGUGACUUUGUCCCUUAAAUCGUUUGUGUUUUUACACAACGAACACACACCAAUGUGAGGGUAUACAAGCAUGCAAACACACAAACACGUACACAAUCGACGCCCCGAGCUCCCAGGUGGCCGACGUGCCUAGAAGUGAUGAAGGCCUCCUUGAGACGUGGAAGAGGAAUAAGGAUGGAAUAGUGUGUUCCCAAGAUUUUAAAGUUACAGUUAUUUUGUGUUCAUUUUUGGGGUCUAACAGUCGGCCACUCGCAGUCCUGGUUCUGGUUCUCCUGGACCUCCCUUCCCUGCAGGUCAGCACUAUGUACUGGGUAUCCUCUCCAGAGAGGAGAAGCUGAGCUCUCCUCCUCCCUCCGGACCUCUAACUGCCCGUCCACCGUGGACUAGAGGAUCUGGGUUUGUCCACGGUGGAGUGGUUUCUUCUGUAGGAUCUGGGUCUGUCCACGGUGGACUGGUCUUUCUUGGAGGAUCUGGGUCUGUCCACGGUGGACUGGUCUUUCUUGGAGGAUCUGGGUCUGUCCACGGUGGACUGGUCUCUGCUGGAGGAUCUGGGUCUGUCCACGGUGGACUGGUCUCUGCUGGAGGAUCUGGGUCUGUCCACGGUGGACUGGUCUUUCUUGGAGGAUCUGGGUUUGUCCACAGUGGACUGGUCUCUGCUGGAGGAUCUGGGUCUAUCCACGGUGGACUGGUCUCUGCUGGAGGAUCUGGGUCUGUCCACGGUGGACUAGUCUCUGAUGGAGGCCCCGCCGCAGGUUAGAAUCUUUCCAGACCCAGAUUCUGCUUCGCUGCUGCCUUGGACCUGCAGUUGGAAGGUUCUUCUCCUCCAGGAGAGUUUCUCCUUGCUGCUCUGCUAUUCCUCUCCGGAAAAACCUGACAGCCUGCUAAUGAAGACCCAUGGUGUAAUGCUGAACCCGGUGGAGGGAAGGGAGGCCCAGGAGAACCAGAACCAGGACUGAGUGGGACCGACUGUUUUCCCCGGCUGCAGCAGAAUGAGAGGUUUUCUAAAGGGACCCUGGUGCUCAGAGACACUACCCCCUUAGUCCACCGGGGGCGCCAAAGCCAACCCGAAACUUCCUUGUUGUAACUUUAAAGAUAUUUCCGACUCCUGCGUCUAAUCAGCCACGAUGUUGAUGCUCUGAGCUCUGUGAUUUAUAGUUGAUUGCGAUUCAACCUUUAGUUGCCAUGUUUAUUUCCAGUACAGCUGCAAUGGAACCCCAAAGGCAGCACAAGUCGCAGCGUUCACAUGUUCUUACUUUCACUUUCUGUCCAUCCUCCUAUUAUUGCAUUAGGAAAUGUAAACGUGUUGCGCUGCCUUUCUCUGUUUACUUCUGUGCGUGUCUGGUCUGCAGAUGUGAGUAUUUUGUCGAAGGGGAUUCAUCCGCGCAGCUUUCUGAUGUCUGUCUGCGUCAACCUGACAGAACGCAGAGGCAGAGGGAAAAGGGCAAAGGGCAAAGGCGGGGUCGAAUCAGAUAACCGGACCCCGAAGCCCAUCGGCUUCACGUCCUCGCCUCGACCACGCUGCUCCUUUCCAGAGACAACUGAAACCCUCUGGAUGGGUUCUGCCUGUUCGUUAUGAUUAUGUAAAGUUUUGUUUUAAAAAGACCAGGACCUGGGGGGGGGGGGGGGGGGUGGUACUCACAAUGUGAUAAUAGGAGGAGACAAUGAGAGAAUACAUCAUACGAAGGUUCUCUAAUCUGAAAAAUGUGUGUGUAAUGACAAACAGACCGAGUUCGAAAAAUUAAGAUAUCCUGUGUUUAUUCUCUGAGGCAGGAUGAUGGCUGACAACUUAAGCUCCUGCUCUUGGCUUUAGAAAAGGACGGUUUGGAGAUGAAACCCGAAAUACUCUUAAUGGACGCACAGAGGCCGCUUAAAGAGCCGUGCCUUUUGCCAUCGGCCCCAUACAGGGUAUGUAAAGUAGUGGAGGUAGUCAUUGUGCCUUCAUUUCUGCCUUUUGGGCCUUGCCAUUUCGUUUUUUUAGUAACUAGUGACCAGAUGUAGACAGAUGUAGAGACCUGUCAAGCAGCGUCCCCUGCUUUAUGGUCCUAAAGGAACAUCAUGAUGUAUUGAAGAAGACUUGAAACUAGAGACUGAGACCAUAAACUCAUGUUUACAAUGUUUACUGAGGGAAUAAAUCAGGAGAAGAGUCAUUUUCUCAUAGACUUCUAUGGGACCAGAGGAGUCGCCCCCUGGUGGAUAUUAGAGAGAAUGCAGCACACACACACACACACACACACACUCAGUGAGAGGCCUCGUCGGGCUUCGGAGUUGCCAGAUGGGACAAUCUGCAGUGAUUUAGGUAAUCCAGAGGCAUCCAGAGAGAAAUCCAAAACAAACGCGGUGAAGUAAUAAAGAAAGAGAGACAUUUUCACCCUUUUCUCCACGGAUGUCUCAUUCGCCUCGCUCUGCAUCCAUCUCCCUCUUCUUAAUUUCUGGUUCCACACAUGGACGCGGUGCCAGACGUCUUACCAGCUCUGUCUUCAGUCGGCGCUAUCGAGAUGUCACUAAUCCCGUGGAUGUUCAGAGUUUUGUCUCCUCCGGUACCAAUUUCUACCAAUUACAUCGAGGAAAUCUGUCCCCUCUUGAUUCUCCGUCUCAUGCCCCCGCGGCCCCAUCGGCUCCCAGGGCCUGGCCGUGUCCAGCUGGCAUGGCCUAGACAAGCGGGACAGCUGGGAUCCUUGACCACCCAGAUUACAGCAACCCACUCGUCAUCACCAUCAACAGCCCAUCGAGACGGGCAGUUUUCAACAUCGAACCCCCCCUCC